GUGACAUUGUAACACUAUUAUCUGUCAUAAAUCUCUGAAUAACACCCCACAUGUACAUAUUUUUUUUAAAGUAGACAACCCAGGGUAUUCAAUAUGGGGUAUGUCCAGUCUUUUUUAGCAGCCACUUAGUUGAAAACACUGGCCAAAGUAAGCAUUCAUAUUUGUUUGUGUGUGGAAAAAGUAAAAAAACUAAAUUGAACGCUAAUUUUGGCCAGUGUUUGUG